CAUAGACACACACACACAGAGUUCGAAAACUAUCGAAGAAAAGCAAUGUGUCUUGUUCAGUCACUAAAUAGCUGUCUGGUUUGUGUCUCCUGAGGUGGCUGCACAUCAGUGGGCACACCAUCUAUUAGACCACUGCAAAGCCAUCAAACCUGCACGCGUGCGUGGAUGAUAAAUGCACCAGCUUAUUGAUUUACAAAAACAAGGCAGUCCAGCGGCAUGAAUGAGGUCCUUCCGGCGACUGAGUUUGAGCCCCGUGAUGUAAGCAAACCUGCCUCUCCGUGCUCAUUCCCUUUGAUUCAUCCCUUUAGUUAGCAUGUGGCUGCGUGACGGAUCUAUCUGCUCUGCGACUGGCAGCCGACGGCCUGGCAGCUCUGAUAGCGCUGCACUCCAUUUCAGUAAAUAGGAACUCAAUUGAACCGAGACUAUUUAAACAGUUCAUGUAAGCAGAUUCGGGGCAGAGGGCAGAACGCACCGCCACUGUAGGACUCACAUGUACUGUAUGAUCGUGGCUACAAUAAACAGAUCGACUCGAGCUUCGGAAUAGUUUGGCAAAACGGAGGGAUGACACAACAGAAGUAGCCCUGAGUUGUUUUUGAUGCUUGGGUACCCUCUGACCCACUAAAUCACAUGCUGUGCUUACAAAACCACGCACACAAAGAUACAAAUGA